rnacentral:rRNA from 1 species
AUUGAACGCUGGCGGCAUGCCUUACACAUGCAAGUCGAAUGGUAACAGGUCUUCGGAUGCUGACGAGUGGCGAACGGGUGAGUAAUACAUCGGAACGUGCCCGAUCGUGGGGGAUAACGAAGCGAAAGCUUUGCUAAUACCGCAUAAGAUCUACGGAUGAAAGCAGGGGACCGCAAGGCCUUGCGCGAACGGGGCGGCCGAUGGCAGAUUAGGUAGUUGGUGGGAUAAAAGCUUACCAAGCCGACGAUCUGUAGCUGGUCUGAGAGGACGACCAGCCACACUGGGACUGAGACACGGCCCAGACUCCUACGGGAGGCAGCAGUGGGGAAUUUUGGACAAUGGGCGAAAGCCUGAUCCAGCCAUGCCGCGUGCAGGAUGAAGGCCUUCGGGUUGUAAACUGCUUUUGUACGGAACGAAAAGACUCUUUCUAAUAAAGAGGGUCCAUGACGGUACCGUAAGAAUAAGCACCGGCUAACUACGUGCCAGCCGCCGCGGUAAUAC